GCCCGACUUGAGUGGAGCUCAUUUUUGCAAUGGGAAAGCUUUGGCAAAAAAUAGCGGGAACGGAAGGCGGAAUAGCUG
rnacentral:sRNA from 1 species